AUCCAUUAUCUUACAUAUUUGUCUUUGUUUUAUGCUGGAAACAUUCAAAUUAUCCUCUUCUAUCUAUUUUGAAGCCUCUGGAAGCAGCAAUCUACCCUCUAUCUUCACGAGAUCCACUGUUUUAGCUCCCACACGAGUGAGAACAUGCAAUAUUUGUCUUUCUGUGCUUGGCUUAUUUCACUUAAAAUAAUGACCUCUAGGUCCAUCCAUGUUGCUGCAAAUGACAGGAUUUUAUUCUUCCUAUGCCUGAAUAAUAUUCCAUUGUGUAUAUAUAUCACACUUUAUUCAUUCAUCCAUUGAUGAGCACUUAGGUUGAUUUCAAUAUUUUGACUAUC
rnacentral:lncRNA from 1 species